CACGGGGGGAGCAAGCGUUGUUCGGAAUCACUGGGCGUAAAGGGCGCGUAGGCGGUCAGCACAAGUCAGUUGUGAAAACUCCGGGCUCAACUCGGAGACGCCACUCGAUACUGCCAUGACUCGAGUCCGGUAGGGGAGUGCGGAAUUCCUGGUGUAGCGGUGAAAUGCGCAGAUAUCAGGAGGAACACCGGUGGCGAAGGCGGCACUCUGGGCCGGUACUGACGCUGAGGAGCGAAAGCGUGGGGAGCGAACAGG
rnacentral:rRNA from 1 species